GACGAACGCUGGCGGCGUGCUUAACACAUGCAAGUCGAACGGAAAGGCCCUGCUUUUGUGGGGUGCUCGAGUGGCGAACGGGUGAGUAACACGUGAGUAACCUGCCCUUGACUUUGGGAUAACUUCAGGAAACUGGGGCUAAUACCGGAUAGGAGCUCCUGCUGCAUGGUGGGGGUUGGAAAGUUUCGGCGGUUGGGGAUGGACUCGCGGCUUAUCAGCUUGUUGGUGGGGUAGUGGCUUACCAAGGCUUUGACGGGUAGCCGGCCUGAGAGGGUGACCGGCCACACUGGGACUGAGACACGGCCCAGACUCCUACGGGAGGCAGCAGUGGGGAAUAUUGCACAAUGGGCGGAAGCCUGAUGCAGCAACGCCGCGUGCGGGAUGACGGCCUUCGGGUUGUAAACCGCUUUCGCCUGUGACGAAGCGUGAGUGACGGUAAUGGGUAAAGAAGCACCGGCUAACUACGUG
rnacentral:rRNA from 1 species